AUAUGUAUUUAUCAAUAAAUUAGAUAGAUCUAGAAAAUAUUGAUGAGAAAU
rnacentral:guide_RNA from 1 species